CCCCCUCUCGGGGUGGGACUAGACAUGCGAGUCGAGCGUCUCUAGCUAUGUUGAGACGCGGCAGACGGCUCAGUAACACGUGGCUAACCUACCCUCAGGACAGGGACAAACCCGGGAAACUGGGGCUAAUACCAGAUAGGUGAGGAUGCCUGGAAUGGUUUUUCGCUCAAAGGACCUUGGAAACAUGCUUUCAAGUCGCCUGAGGAUGGGGCCGCGUCCGAUCAGGUUGUUGGUGAGGUAACGGCUCACCAAGCCUAUAACCGGUACGGGCCGUGAGAGCGGUAGCCCGGAGAUGGGUACUGAGACAAGGACCCAGGCCCUACGGGGCGCAGCAGUCGCGAAAACUCCGCAAUGCACGAAAGUGUGACGGGGCUACCCCGAGUGCUCUCCGCUGAGGAAAGCUUUUCUCUGGUGUAACAAGCCAGGGGAAUAAGGAGAGGGCAAGACUGGUGUCAGCCGCCGCGGUAAUACCAGCUCUCCGAGUGGUAGGGAUGUUUAUUGGGCUUAAAGCGUCCGUAGCCGGCUUAGCAAGUUUCCUGUUAAAUUCAGCGACCUAAUCGUUGAGCCGCGGGAAAUACUACUAGGCUAGGAGGCGGGAGAGGUCAACGGUACUUCCGGGGUAGGGGUGAAAUCCUAUAAUCCCGGGAGGACCACCAGUGGCGAAGGCUGUUGACUAGAACGCGCUCGACGGUGAGGGACGAAAGCUGGGGGAGCGAACCGGAUUAGAUACCCGGGUAGUCCCAGCUGUAAACGAUGCGAGCUAGGUGUUGGGGUGGCUACGUGCCACUUCAGUGCCGCAGGGAAGCCAUUAAGCUCGCCGCCUGGGGAGUACGGCCGCAAGGCUGAAACU
rnacentral:rRNA from 1 species